rnacentral:rRNA from 1 species
UGGGGAAUUUUGGACAAUGGGCGAAAGCCUGAUCCAGCAAUGCCGCGUGUGUGAAGAAGGCCUUCGGGUUGUAAAGCACUUUUGUCCAGAAAGAAAUCCUUGGCUCUAAUACAGUCGGGGGAUGACGGUACCGGAAGAAUAAGCACCGGCUAACUACGUGCCAGCAGCCGCGGUAAUACGUAGGGUGCAAGCGUUAAUCGGAAUUACUGGGCGUAAAGCGUGCGCAGGCGGUUUGCUAAGACCGAUGUGAAAUCCCCGGGCUCAACCUGGGAACUGCAUUGGUGACUGGCAGGCUAGAGUAUGGCAGAGGGGGGUAGAAUUCCACGUGUAGCAGUGAAAUGCGUAGAGAUGUGGAGGAAUACCGAUGGCGAAGGCAGCCCCCUGGGCCAAUACUGACGCUCAUGCACGAAAGCGUGGGGAGCAAACAGGAUUAGAUACCCUGGUAGUCCACGCCCUAAACGAUGUCAACUAGUUGUUGGGGAUUCAUUUCCUUAGUAACGUAGCUAACGCGUGAAGUUGACCGCCUGGGGAGUACGGUCGCAAGAUUAAAACUUAAAUGAAUUGACGGGGGUCAUAGCUGUUUCCUG